UGCAUUCACUACUGUAAGUCGCUCUGGAUAAGAGUGUCUGCUAAAUGACGUAAA
rfam:Salmo salar isolate Sally breed double haploid chromosome ssa17, whole genome shotgun sequence.